rnacentral:rRNA from 1 species
UGGCUCAGGACGAACGCUGGCGGCGUGCUUAACACAUGCAAGUCGAGCGAUGAAGCUUCUCGGAAGUGGAUAGCGGCGGACGGGUGAGUAACACGUGGGUAACCUGCCUCAUAGAGGGGAAUAGCCUUCCGAAAGGAAGAUUAAUACCGCAUAAGAUUGUAAUAUCGCAUGAUAUAGCAAUUAAAGGAGUAAUCCGCUAUGAGAUGGACCCGCGUCGCAUUAGCUAGUUGGUGAGGUAACGGCUCACCAAGGCGACGAUGCGUAGCCGACCUGAGAGGGUGAUCGGCCACAUUGGGACUGAGACACGGCCCAGACUCCUACGGGAGGCAGCAGUGGGGAAUAUUGCACAAUGGGGGAAACCCUGAUGCAGCCAACGCCGCGUGAGUGAUGACGGUCUUCGGAUUGUAAAGCUCUGUCUUCAGGGACGAUAAUGACGGUACCUGAGGAGGAAGCCACGGCUAACUACGUGCCAGCCGCUGC